UAAUACGUAGGGUGCGAGCGUUAAUCGGAAUUACUGGGCGUAAAGCGUGCGCAGGCGGUUACUUAAGUCAGGUGUGAAAGCCCUGGGCUUAACCUAGGAAUUGCGCUUGAGACUGGGUAGCUUUGAGUGUGGCAGAGGGAGGUGGAAUUCCACGUGUAGCAGUGAAAUGCGUAGAGAUGUGGAGGAACACCGAUGGCGAAGGCAGCCUCCUGGGCCAGCACUGACGCUCAUGCACGAAAGCGUGGGGAGCAAACAGGAUUAGAUACCCUGGUAGUCCACGCCCUAAACGAUGUCAACUGGUUGUUGGUGGGGUUAAACCCAUUAGUAACGAAGCUAACGCGUGAAGUUGACCGCCUGGGGAGUACGGCCGCAAGGUUA
rnacentral:rRNA from 1 species